UGAACGCUGGCGGCGUGCCUAAUACAUGCAAGUCGAGCGAACGGACGAGAAGCUUGCUUCUCUGAUGUUAGCGGCGGACGGGUGAGUAACACGUGGAUAACCUACCUAUAAGACUGGGAUAACUUCGGGAAACCGGAGCUAAUACCGGAUAAUAUUUUGAACCGCAUGGUUCAAAAGUGAAAGACGGUCUUGCUGUCACUUAUAGAUGGAUCCGCGCUGCAUUAGCUAGUUGGUAAGGUAACGGCUUACCAAGGCAACGAUGCAUAGCCGACCUGAGAGGGUGAUCGGCCACACUGGAACUGAGACACGGUCCAGACUCCUACGGGAGGCAGCAGUAGGGAAUCUUCCGCAAUGGGCGAAAGCCUGACGGAGCAACGCCGCGUGAGUGAUGAAGGUCUUCGGAUCGUAAAACUCUGUUAUUAGGGAAGAACAUAUGUGUAAGUAACUGUGCACAUCUUGACGGUACCUAAUCAGAAAGCCACGGCUAACUACGUGCCAGCAGCCGCGGUAAUACGUAGGUGGCAAGCGUUAUCCGGAAUUAUUGGGCGUAAAGCGCGCGUAGGCGGUUUUUUAAGUCUGAUGUGAAAGCCCACGGCUCAACCGUGGAGGGUCAUUGGAAACUGGAAAACUUGAGUGCAGAAGAGGAAAGUGGAAUUCCAUGUGUAGCGGUGAAAUGCGCAGAGAUAUGGAGGAACACCAGUGGCGAAGGCGACUUUCUGGUCUGUAACUGACGCUGAUGUGCGAAAGCGUGGGGAUCAAACAGGAUUAGAUACCCUGGUAGUCCACGCCGUAAACGAUGAGUGCUAAGUGUUAGGGGGUUUCCGCCCCUUAGUGCUGCAGCUAACGCAUUAAGCACUCCGCCUGGGGAGUACGACCGCAAGGUUGAAACUCAAAGGAAUUGACGGGGACCCGCACAAGCGGUGGAGCAUGUGGUUUAAUUCGAAGCAACGCGAAGAACCUUACCAAAUCUUGACAUCCUUUGACAACUCUAGAGAUAGAGCCUUCCCCUUCGGGGGGGGCAAAGUGACAGGUGGUGCAUGGUUGUCGUCAGCUCGUGUCGUGAGAUGUUGGGUUAAGUCCCGCAACGAGCGCAACCCUUAAGCUUAGUUGCCAUCAUUAAGUUGGGCACUCUAAGUUGACUGCCGGUGACAAACCGGAGGAAGGUGGGGAUGACGUCAAAUCAUCAUGCCCCUUAUGAUUUGGGCUACACACGUGCUACAAUGGACAAUACAAAGGGCAGCGAAACCGCGAGGUCAAGCAAAUCCCAUAAAGUUGUUCUCAGUUCGGAUUGUAGUCUGCAACUCGACUACAUGAAGCUGGAAUCGCUAGUAAUCGUAGAUCAGCAUGCUACGGUGAAUACGUUCCCGGGUCU
rnacentral:rRNA from 1 species